GAUGAACGCUGGCGGCGUGCCUAAUACAUGCAAGUCGAGCGAACAGAUGAGGAGCUUGCUCCUUCGACGUUAGCGGCGGACGGGUGAGUAACACGUAGGUAACCUACCUAUAAGACUGGGAUAACUUCGGGAAACCGGAGCUACUACCGGAUAAUAUUUCGAACCGCAUGGUUCGAUAGUGAAAGAUGGCUUUGCUAUCACUUAUAGAUGGACCUGCGCCGUAUUAGCUAGUUGGUAAGGUAACGGCUUACCAAGGCAACGAUACGUAGCCGACCUGAGAGGGUGAUCGGCCACACUGGAACUGAGACACGGUCCAGACUCCUACGGGAGGCAGCAGUAGGGAAUCUUCCGCAAUGGGCGAAAGCCUGACGGAGCAACGCCGCGUGAGUGAUGAAGGUCUUCGGAUCGUAAAACUCUGUUAUUAGGGAAGAACAAACGUGUAAGUAACUGUGCACGUCUUGACGGUACCUAAUCAGAAAGCCACGGCUAACUACGUG
rnacentral:rRNA from 1 species